ACGGCGGGUGCUAACGUCCGUCGUGAAGAGGGAAACAACCCAGACCGCCAGCUAAGGUCCCAAAGUCAUGGUUAAGUGGGAAACGAUGUGGGAAGGCACAGACAGCCAGGAUGUUGGCUUAGAAGCAGCCAUCAUUUAAAGAAAGCGUAAUAGCUCACUGGUCGAGUCGGCCUGCGCGGAAGAUGUAACGGGGCUAAACCAUGCACCGAAGCUGCGGCAGCGACACUAUGUGUUGUUGGGUAGGGGAGCGUUCUGUAAGCCGUUGAAGGUGUAUCGUGAGGUAUGCUGGAGGUAUCAGAAGUGCGAAUGCUGACAUAAGUAACGAUAAUGCGGGUGAAAAACCCGCACGCCGGAAGACCAAGGGUUCCUGUCCAACGUUAAUCGGGGCAGGGUGAGUCGACCCCUAAGGCGAGGCCGAAAGGCGUAGUCGAUGGGAAACAGGUUAAUAUUCCUGUACUUGGUGUUACUGCGAAGGGGGGACGGAGAAGGCUAUGUUAGCCGGGCGACGGUUGUCCCGGUUUAAGCAUGUAGGCGGAGGUUCCAGGUAAAUCCGGUACCUUAUUAACGCUGAGGUGUGAUGACGAGGCACUACGGUGCUGAAGUAACAAAUGCCCUGCUUCCAGGAAAAGCCUCUAAGCAUCAGGUAACACGAAAUCGUACCCCAAACCGACACAGGUGGUCAGGUAGAGAAUACCAAGGCGCUUGAGAGAACUCGGGUGAAGGAACUAGGCAAAAUGGUGCCGUAACUUCGGGAGAAGGCA
rnacentral:rRNA from 1 species